UUUAACGGCCGCGGUACCCUAACCGUGCGAAGGUAGCAUAAUCACUUGUUCUUUAAAUAGGGACUAGUAUCAACGGCAUCACGAGGGUUACACUGUCUCCUUUCUCCAAUCAGUGAAACUGAUCUCCCCGUGAAGAAGCGGGGAUAAAACUAUUAGACGAGAAGACCCCAUGGAGCUUUAAGCUCAACAACAACUCUUAUGAAAAUAAUUCCCCAUAGUAUACGAACCCUGUUUGUUAGCUUUAGGUUGGGGUGACCGCGGAGUAUAAUUCAACCUCCACGGCGAAAGGGUAUAAAGCCCUAAUCCAAGAGCCACUGCUCUAAGAAUCUUUAAAUUGACGUACAAUGAUCCGAUUUUCGAUCAACGAACCAAGUUACCCUGGGGAUAACAGCGCAAUCCAUUUCUAGAGCCCCUAUCGACAAAUGGGUUUACGACCUCGAUGUUGGAUCAGGGU
rnacentral:rRNA from 1 species